AAAAAGAUAAGCUAAAUUAAGCUUAUGGGUUCAUACCCCAUCGAUGAAUAAAUUCUCUUUUUA
rnacentral:tRNA from 2 species